rnacentral:rRNA from 1 species
GACGAACGCUGGCGGCGUGCUUAACACAUGCAAGUCGAACGGAAAGGCCCUGCUUUUGUGGGGUGCUCGAGUGGCGAACGGGUGAGUAACACGUGAGUAACCUGCCCUUGACUUUGGGAUAACUUCAGGAAACUGGGGCUAAUACCGGAUAGGAGCUCCUGCUGCAUGGUGGGGGUUGGAAAGUUUCGGCGGUUGGGGAUGGACUCGCGGCUUAUCAGCUUGUUGGUGGGGUAGUGGCUUACCAAGGCUUUGACGGGUAGCCGGCCUGAGAGGGUGACCGGCCACAUUGGGACUGAGAUACGGCCCAGACUCCUACGGGAGGCAGCAGUGGGGAAUAUUGCACAAUGGGCGGAAGCCUGAUGCAGCAACGCCGCGUGCGGGAUGACGGCCUUCGGGCUGUAAACCGCUUUCGCCUGUGACGAAGCGUGAGUGACGGUAAUGGGGAAAGAAGCACCGGCUAACUACGU